rnacentral:rRNA from 1 species
UGAAAUGCAUUAGCAGAACCGUUUGCGGUACGUUGCCGGUGUGAUAAUUAUCUACGCCAUAAACGACCACUGCUCUCUGUCUGUUCAGCUUCUAAUCGUCCUUUGAUGGACAAUUUUUGAACUCUUGACCUCAAAUCAGGUAGGACUACCCGCUGAACUUAAGCAUAUCAAUAACGAAC